UUCCGGUUGAUCCCGCCGGAGGCUACCGCUAUUGGAGUUCGAUUAAGCCAUGCGAGUCGCGAGAAAUUAGAUUCUCGGCGUACCGCUCAGUAACACGUGGGUAACCUGCCCUAUGCUGGAUAAUAACCUCGGGAAACUGAGAAUAAUGAUCCAUAGUUCACUACGCCUGGAACGGUGAGUGGAUGAAAGCCCCGGCGGCAUAGGAUGGGCCUGCGGCGUAUCAGGUUGUAGGGGGUGUAACGUACCCUCUAGCCCUCUACGCGUACGGGUGUUGGGAGACAUAGCCCGGAGAUGGAUUCUGAGACACGAAUCCAGACCCUACGGGGUGCAGCAGGCGCGAAAACUUGGCAAUGCGAGAAAUCGUGACCAGGGAACUCCAAGUGCAUCGGGUAAGACCGGUGCUUUUCUUGACUCUAAAUAGGUCUUGGAAUAAGGGGUGGGUAAGGACGGUGCCAGCCGCCGCGGUAAUACCGGCGCCUCAAGUGGUAGUCGCUUUUAUUGGGCCUAAAACGUCCGUAGCCGGUCUGAUACAUUCGUGGGUAAAUCAACCAGCUCAACUGGUUGAAUUCUGCGAGGACGGUCAGACUUGGGACCGGGAGAGGUGUGGGGUACGCUCAGGGUAGGGGUAAAAUCCUGUCAUCCUGAGCGGACCACCUGUUGCGAAGGCGCCACACUAGAACGGAUCCGACGGUCAGGGACGAAGCCUAGGGGCACGAACCGGAUUAGAUACCCGGGUAGUCCUAGGUGUAAACGCUGUGGACUUGAUGUUGGGGGUGCUCCGAGCACUCUCAGUGUCGAAGCGAAAGUGAUAAGUCCACUGCCUGGGAAGUACGGUCGCAAGGCUGAAACUUAAAGGAAUUGGCGGGGGAGCACCGCAACCUGAGGAUUGUGCGGUUUAAUUGGAUUCAACGCCCGGA
rnacentral:rRNA from 1 species